rnacentral:rRNA from 1 species
GACGAACGCUGGCGGCGUGCUUAACACAUGCAAGUCGAACGGUGAAGCGCUUUCCUUUUUGGUUGGUGUGGAUGAGUGGCGAACGGGUGAGUAACACGUGAGUAACCUGCCCCCUUCUUCUGGAUAACCGCAUGAAAGUGUGGCUAAUACGGGAUAUUCUGCGCCUGCUGCAUGGUGGGUGUGGGAAAGAUUGUGCCUUUGGGUGUUUUCGGUGGGGGAUGGGCUCGCGGCCUAUCAGCUUGUUGGUGGGGUGGUGGCCUACCAAGGCGGUGACGGGUAGCCGGCCUGAGAGGGUGGACGGUCACACUGGGACUGAGACACGGCCCAGACUCCUACGGGAGGCAGCAGUGGGGAAUAUUGCACAAUGGGCGCAAGCCUGAUGCAGCGACGCCGCGUGAGGGAUGGAGGCCUUCGGGUUGUGAACCUCUUUCGCCAGUGAAGCAGGCCUGCUCCUUGUGGGUGGGUUGACGGUAGCUGGAUAAGAAGCGCCGGCUAACUACGUG